AUAUUUGUGGACAUCAUCAAUCAGAGCAAGUAGUCGCCCCAUUGAUGCUUCCAUUCCUUCAAGAUCAUUGGGAAGUUUGUCCACGGUUGUUGUCUUGAGCAUAUCAACUAUAUCAAGGAGCACAAGAAAGUCCUAGUUUAUCCUUCAAACUGUUGAUGUCUGGCAUUAUGUAAGGACGGAAAACAAUACAAUCUAUCCAACCAUUGUAUUCAUUAA